rnacentral:rRNA from 1 species
UACGUAGGGUCCAAGCGUUGUCCGGAUUUAUUGGGCGUAAAGAGCUCGUAGGCGGCUCGGUAAGUCGGAUGUGAAACCUCCAGGCUCAACCUGGAGUCGCCAUCCGAUACUGCUGUGGCUUGAGUCCGGUAGGGGAGCAUGGAAUUCCUGGUGUAGCGGUGAAAUGCGCAGAUAUCAGGAGGAACACCAGCGGCGAAGGCGGCGCUCUGGGCUGGAACUGACGCUGAGGAGCGAAAGCGUGGGGAGCGAACAGG